CCGGAGAAUGUUAUCACGGGAGACACACGGCGGGUGCUAACGUCCGUCGUGAAGAGGGAAACAACCCAGACCGCCAGCUAAGGUCCCAAAGUCAUGGUUAAGUGGGAAACGAUGUGGGAAGGCCCAGACAGCCAGGAUGUUGGCUUAGAAGCAGCCAUCAUUUAAAGAAAGCGUAAUAGCUCACUGGUCGAGUCGGCCUGCGCGGAAGAUGUAACGGGGCUAAACCAU
rnacentral:rRNA from 2 species